rnacentral:lncRNA from 1 species
CUCCACCUCCUCCGCCGCUUCCUCCGCCCCAGCAGCACCCGUCAACAAGCAUCAAGUCGCCGUCUCAGCCAGCACCUUCUCUUCCUCCACGCCAUCAACGCGAUCGAAGCUAGGACGGCCGCGUCCACAGCGCGUCUCCAGCCGUCCGCGACCCGUUCCCAUCCAUCUGCGACCAAAUCCCCGCGCCUCAGCCCGCGCCGCCCUCCUUCC